rnacentral:misc_RNA from 1 species
GAUGAAGAACGUAGCGAAAUGCGAUAAGUAAUGCGAAUUGCAGAAUUCAGUGAAUCAUCGAAUCUUUGAACGCACAUUGCGCCCGCCAGUAUUCUGGCGGGCAUGCCUGUCUGAGCGUCGUUUCGACCCUCGCGCCCGGCUUCUGUCGGGGGCGGUGUUGGGGAUCGGCCACACCCUUCAGUGGGAGGCCGGCCCCUAAAUUCAGUGGCGACCACGCUGUAGCCUCCCCUGCGUAGUACUAAAACCACCUCGCAGGCGGGGAGCGGUGCGGCCCGCCGUAAAACCCCCCAACUUUUACAAGGUCGACCUCAGAUCAGGUAGGAAUACCCGCUGAACUUAAGCAUAUCAAUAAGCGGAGGA